UACGUAGGUGGCAAGCGUUGUCCGGAUUUACUGGGCGUAAAGAGCGCGCAGGCGGUCGUUCAAGUCGCGUGUGAAAGCCCCCGGCUCAACUGGGGAGGGUCACGCGAUACUGAUCGACUCGAAGGCAGGAGAGGGUAGUGGAAUUCCCGGUGUAGUGGUGAAAUGCGUAGAUAUCGGGAGGAACACCAGUGGCGAAGGCGACUCCCUGGCCUGUUCUUGACGCUGAGGCACGAAAGCGUGGGGAGCAAACAGG
rnacentral:rRNA from 1 species